CAGCUGCACAUCUUGUUCCUUCUCUCCAAAGAGCUAUGCUUGCUUGAGUUUCCACAUUCUUGUGUACUCCCUGACCACCUGCAGAGGGAAAAGCUGCUGCUACAAGUCGUGACCCGGACAAGACUCAGGAAUCCGCCUGUCCAGUGAUUGUUUUCAGCGGCCGGACUACAAGGGGAAUCAUCUCGGAUGGUGGAUCUGCCAGUUGAUGACCUCCCAACACCAUCAUGAAAAGACACUGGCUGAAACUUACAUCUCUCUUUCUCCUACUCACACUAUGUCUCUAAUUUUAAAUAAACAAAAAGGGGGACAUAUAGAGGCUGGGCCUAGAAGAAAGGAUGGAUGGAUGGAAAGAAUGUGAGCCGAGUGAAUGAAGGGACAGGCGAAAAUGCCUACCUGAAGCUGCUUGUUUUCUGUGUGCAAAGGUCAGCUGUUUUCAUGUACAGAUGUUGUUUAAAAAUUUAGCAAAUGGCCCAGACCUUUGUUCUCUAGCUAAGUCUUUGUUCUAAGAAUUAUUAUCUGACAUCUAUACAUCUUGUUCCUUAACUGCAAAGAUCUAUGCUUGCUUGAGUUUCCACAUUCUUGAGUACUCCCUGACCUUCUGCACAUAUCCUUUGUAAUAAAUACGGGAAAGAACUUAGCCAAGGAGGCCAUUUUCUCCUUUAGGCUUUGGUCUCUCCCCUUCUC